rnacentral:rRNA from 1 species
CGUGCACUCCGGGCCAGUAGCCUGGGCAAUGCGGAGGGUGUGGGCUGUAAGCGGAAGUACUGGUCGGAAAGCGUGCGUAGGCGGUCCCGCAAGUCCGCUGUGAAAGCCCCGAGCUCAACUUGGGAACUGCAGUGGAAACUAUGGGACUUGAAUCCGGCAGAGGGGGGUGGAAUGCCACGUGUAGCAGUGAAAUGCGUAGAGAUGUGGCGGAACACCGAUGGCGAAGGCAGCCCCCUGGGCUGAGAUUGACGCUCAGGCACGAAAGCGUGGGGAGCAAACAGGAUUAGAUACCCGUGUAGUC